CCAGCUUCCCCAGCUUGCUAUAGUAGGCAAGCACUGUAGUUCCAAGUAGCUCCCCUAGCUGGUAAAUUGAACAUUCAAACAAGUUAGAGGUAAGGCAAGGUGUGUGUGUGAUGGGUUGACAAGCUUCAUCCAGGUCUCUACUUAAAUUACAGCUUUCCAGACACUUAUCCCCUCAUUCAGCACUAGGCUCGAUAUACACGCAUGAACAUUCCCGAGUUUAAGUUCUUGACUUUUUCCUCCUGCUUAUCCAAACCUGCUUGGCUGGUUUCUUGAUGUCCUUGGGCGUUACUUGAAAUAUGUUUAUAUAGUGGCUGUCUGCUGAGGCCUUGGAACUGCUGGUUUCUGCAUAUGUAUAUGAAGAGGAAAGAAGUUUAAAUUUAUUCUGUUACAAAUAAAUGCGUUUUUGUCCCGGGAACUAAGAUGUUAAUGAAUUUCAUUCAACAUAUAUGAGAACCUCCAACAAAACCGUGGGUCCAGCUGGAAAAUAUUCAGUUCUUCAGUAACAAUAUAAACCUAUCCUUUUUCUCACAUAAAACAAAUGAACUCAGUAACUAUUUCAUACAAGUAGAGUGCUUAAUGUGGAAAAAGAUUUUCAGCACGCAUUCCAAGCCUCUCUCCCUUAACUCCAUUGAUAGAAUACAGUACUCAAAUUGAAAUCAAGGAAAAGCUACACAAUUGAAAUUAUGGAAAAAAGGCUUUCAUCGAAUAAAGGAUUUUUAUAAAAAAGUACUGUAAACAGGAUGAACAACUGGAACAUAAAUUGCCAUGGCUUUUGCAGUGUGAGAUCAAUAUUACAAAAUAAAAAAAUAAUGGAGCAAAUGUUUGAAAUGACUAGCCAUCAUUUAGCUAUUGCAUAGUUUCUUGAAUGAUAGGAAUCUAACUUUCUCUUGUACAUUACUUGCAAUUUAGACUUUAUUAUCUCUAACAUUCUGUUCUCUUAUUUAUACUCUGUGUUUCAAUGGCUUAAUUAAAGAAUUCCACUUGAUUUUUUGUAUUAGACUCGAAUAUGUGAAAAAUAAAGUAAAACCUUACUGUG